CCAGGCAAGUGCACAACUGCUGAGCCCCAGCCCCAGCCCUUUAUUUUUUAUUUUGAGACAGGGUCUCACUAAGUUAGUUAGGGCCUCACUAAGUUGAUGAGGCUGGCUUUGAACUCAUGAUCCUCCUGAGCUACUGGAAUUAUAGGUAUGCACCAUUGUUCCCAACUGUAUUAUAUACAUUAAAAUCUUUAUAUAUAAAAUUUUAUGGUUUUUAAAAUCUGUACUCAUGAGAGAUACUAAUCUGAAUUUUUCUUUGUAAUGUCAUUGACUGGUUUUGGUCUCAGAGUUAUAUUGGCUUAAUAAAACUGGUUGGAAGUUCCCACCUCUACAUCCUGAAAGAUCUAUAAAAUUGGCAUUUUUUUCCCUUAAUAAUAAGAAAAUUAUUGGCAUUAUUUUUUCUUAAUAAUAAUAAUAAAUGUUUACCCAGCGGCUGGGGUGGUUGAAGCAGGAGGAUCGCAAGUUCAAAGCCAGCCUCAGCAACAGCAAGGUACUAAGCAACUCAGUGAGAUCCUCUCUCUAAAUAAAAUAAAAAGUAGGUUUUGGGAAGUGGCUUAGUGGUCAAGUGCCCCUGAGUUCAAUCCCCGGUACAAAAAAAAAAAAAAAGUUUAAUAGAAUUCACCUGUGAAACCACCUGGUGAAUUCUUCAUAGGAAUUCACCUGGGCCUGUGUAUUUAUGGGAAGAUUUUUCAUAAUAAAUGCAAUUUUUUCCACUGGAACUAGGAAAUUGAACCCAGGGACAUUCUACCACUGUGCUAUAUUAUAAAAAUAUAAUAUAUUUUUCUUUUGAGACAGGGUCUCACUAAGUUACUUAGGGUCUCACUAAGGUGCUGAGGUUGACAUUGAAGUUGCAGUCCUCCUACCUCAGCCUCUUGAGUCACUGGGAUUAUAGGUAUCAGCCACUAUAUCAGCUAGUGAUAUGCUUGUAAGGAUUAGAAUCACACACACACACACACACACACACACACACACAGAGAGAGAGAGAGAGAGCCAGAAAUAAAAAGACAAAUAUUAUAAUGAUUUCUUAUAAUACAAUACCUAGAAUAAGCAAAUGCCAAAAAAAAAAAAAAAAAAGUAGGAGUUACCAAGAAGCUGACUAGAAGGGUCAAUGGGUAGUUGUUGCUUAAUGGGUACAGUUUUUAUUAGGGUGAUGAAAAAGUUUUGGAAAUAGUAGUCAUGAUUACGAAACACUGUGAGUAUGGGCUGGGGAUAGCUCUUUGGCAGAGUGCUUGCUAGCAUCCUGGAGGCUCUGGGUUCAAUCCCUGCCCUGUAAAACAAACAAACCACUAUGAAUAUAAUUAAUGCCACUAAGUUUUAACCACUGAAAAAUGGUUAAAGUGGCAAUUUUUUUUACAUAUUUUUUUAAACACAUAUUAAAAAAAAAAAAAAGACUGUGAUGGCAGUUAUACAGAACUAGGCUAUCCGUUAAGUUUACUGAAGUAAUGCAGAUUAAAGAUCAUCUUCAGUUUGCUUUCCAGGUACAUUUCUUCUCCACCCUGCUCUGUGCACCUGCUGACCUGCACUGACUGACUAACAGGCUCCUAGGCCCUGUGGCUUCUGGAUGAAUUUUGCCAGUGUCACAAAUAAUCAGAGGGUGAGAGAUGAGUGAGAUCAGCAUAUUGGUGUAUUUCCCUCCUCCCAAUCUUCAGGUUGUUGUAGGCUGCUAUAUCCUUUAACCAAAAGUCAGAGCUCCUAUCAAGUAGCCUCUCCACUAAGUUCUUUCUUUCUUUCCAUUUCCACAAAGAGGCCCCCUUCUGCAUUGUUGUUUUCCACUACACUAAUUUAUUUGUUUAAUAAUUAAGGUUUUCCAUGAAUUACCUAAUUUGAAUGUACUAUGAAUACCCUGCCUUAGAACAGGGUGGGCAUACCAGAGAGAGCAGAAUCUAUUUGGUUGAGGUGCAAAUAGAUUGGAUAUUGUGGCAGGCAUGGCCCCUGGAACUGAGAAAAGUUCUUAUCCAUAUUUAUAUAGCCUCUAUAUCUAUAUAUUUUCAGAUGGGUUCUUGCUAUGUUGCUCAGGCUGGCUUUGAACUACAGGGUUCAAGUGAUCCUUCUGCUUCAGCCUCCCAAGUAGCUGAGGCUAUAGAUGUGCACCACCAUGCGUGGAUUUAGAAAAUUUCUUAUAAAUUGGGAGAGACAAGAAAUACCGUCUAGAAAAAAACAUAAGGUUGAUACUCAAUUAAUAGUAAAAUUCAUCUAUAAACUCAAGGUCCAAAAAGUGGGAAACAGGAGAUAGGCACAGUGGCACACACCUGUAAUCCCAGUAGCUGGGGAGUCUGAGGCAGGAGGAUCACAAGUUCAAAGCCAGCCUCAGCAACUUAAGGAGGCCCUAAGCAACUCAGUGAAACCCUAUCUCUAUUUUUUUUUUAAAGAGAGAGAGAAUUUUAAUAUUUAUUUUUUUUUAGUUUUCGGCAGACACAACAUCUUUGUUUGUAUGUGGUGCUGAGGAUCGAACCUGGGCCGCAUGCAUGCCAGGCGAGCGCGCUACCGCUUGAGCCACAUCCCCAGCCUGAAACCCUAUCUCUAAAUAAAAUACCCAAAGGGCUGGGGAUGUGGCUCAGUGGUUAAGUGCCUUUGGGUUUAAUCGCUGAUACCAAAACAAACAAACAAGUAAAACAAACAAAAAAUGUUGGAAGGUGGUAUCUACUCCAAGUACGAAUCCAUCUAUUUCCCUAUCUUGGGGACAGAAUAUACUGUUUUCCAAAUUCUCAGAUAUGCAGGAAGGAGGUUGGAGGGAAUUAACUGGUUUUUACGGAGUAACCAGAAAACAAGUAUCUCAAGGAAGCAGUAGAAAUAGGGGUUCUUGGAAAUGAUCCCAGAAGAGAGGUGUAACUGAUUGGGUGAAAUGUCAGGAUAUAUAGAGUGAGAUGCAAUGACUUAUGUUCUCAGCCAGUGAUCCAGGAAUAAAUGAGAACAGGAGGUCAUGCUGGCACCCAAGCCUCAGGGCUUAUGAAGCAACACCCUGUUACAUUAUUUGCAGCUGUCCUCCUAUACCCAUUUCCUCCCUGAAGCCUUGUGCAGAGUGAAAAAGGGAAGAUUUCUCCAUCAUGUAACCCCCAACAAUUUCCACAUUUUCCCUCAUUCUCCUAAAGGCUUCUCUCCCUCCCUGGUUCUCCUAGCUGCUAAAAGUCACACAUCAAACUACACCCCUGGCAGGAGACAGAAUAUCUGUAGUAGAGGUAUUACCAGACUUCCUGGGUCAGACUGGAAACACUUUGUGGCCUAUCUGAUUUAUUUCCCUUUGUUUCAACCCAGGAAACUGAUUAGGAUUUAACUCCUACAGCAUGAUGCUUAGGUUUUGGACCACUGGAUCCUUCUCUGGGGCCUUUUAGUUGCUUCAGACUUUCAGACCAAGGCCUCUUGAAUGGGUAUGGCCAAUAUAAUAGUACAUUUUGUCUUGUCACACUGACUUUACUCCUACAAGAGGCUCCUACAAGAUGUGCUCCAUCUUCUAUUUUCUUCCAUGCUGCCAGGAUCCAGGCACUCCUUAGGCUGUCACAGCUUCUGGCUAGCUGUGUGUCUGAGAUAGAUAACCAAACUUGUGUGUGCUUUAACUUGUUAUUAUCAAGUUCUUAGACAAUGCCAGGCACAUGGCCAAACUCAGUAAAUGUUAAAUAUUGCUAUUAUUAUAUUAUAUUUAAAAAGUACCAGUAUGUUCAUGUAAUUGGCAUGACCUGUUUCACCAAAUUUAAGUCUAAAAAAUGAUCACAUUUUUCUUUCUUUUUAACAUUCUAAGUCAAAAUUCGUUUUAUUUAUUUAUUUAUUUUUGCAGUACUAGAGAUUGGUCCCAUGAAUGUUCUAUCACUGAGCUAAAUCCCCAGUUCUUUUUAUUUUUUAUUUUGAAACAGAAUCUUGCUGAAUUGUCAAGGCUGGCCUGGAACUUGGGAUCCUCCUUCCUCAGUAUCCUGAGUACCUGGGAUUAUAGAUGUGUGCUACUGCACCUAGCUUCAGUUUAUUUUUAUAUUGGUUUUAUUCUACUUAGUCAUAUAUUCCUUAAAUAGGUGAUAUGGACACCCAUAAAAAUUCUAGGGAAAUUAAAAGGCCCACCACUUCUCUCAGCUAUAUAAUUUCCCUCUGUAUGGCCAGCCUUCUUCCUAAUUACUUCCAUAAAUUUAAGUGAUAAUCAAUGCAACUAGAGAUACUAACAGGUUUUUUUUCUUGUACAAAACUAAUUGUAAUAAUAUAUCUUUGAGAGUUUUUCAAGUCAGUCCUUUACAUUGCCUAAUUCUUCCAUUUAUUUAUUUAUGUUUUAUUUUUUGGUAUUGGGGAUUGAACUCAGGAACGCUUUACCGCUGAGCUACAUCCCCAUCCAUUUUUAUUUAUUUAUUUAUUUAUUUAUUUAUUUAUUUGGGGGUACUGGGAAUUGAAAUCAGGGGCACUCGACCACUGAGCCACAUUCUCAGCCCUAUUUUGUAUUUUAUUUAGAGACAGGAUCUCACUGAGUUGCUUAGUGCCUUGCCAUUGCUGAGGCUGGCUUUGAACCAGAUCCUCCUGACUCAGCCUCCUGAGCUACUGGGAUUACAGGCAUGUGCCACCAUACCUAGCCCAUUUUGAGAGAGGGUAUUGCUAAGUUGCUGAGGUUGGCCUCUUAACUUGAGAUCUGCCUGCUUCAGUCUCCCCAGUUACUGGGAUGAUAGGCUAUGCCACCACAGCUGGCAGUUCUUCCUUAAAAAAAGAAAUUUCCCAGGGCCGGGGUUGUGGCUCAGUGGCAGAGCACAUGCCUGUCAUGUGUGAGGUACUGAGUUAAAUUUCAGCACCACAUAUAAAUAAAUAAAUUAAAUUAAAGUCUGCCUACAACUAAAAAAAGAAGGCUUAAAACAUUUCCUCUAAGUCUAUUUAGGUAUAAUUGUCAUAAAAUAAAAUCCAUUCAUUUUAGAUGUACAGUUUGAUAAGCUGUAUAAUGUCACAUAACCCCCACAACAAUAAAAAUAAAAAAUGUGGGCUGGAAUUGUGGCUCAGCGGUAGAGCACUUGCAUAGCAUGUGCGAAGCCCUGGGUUUGAUCCUCAGCACCACGUUAAAAAAUAAAUAAAUAAAUAAAUAAAUAAAAGACAUUAUGUCUAGGGACUGGGGUUGUGGCUCAGAGGCAGAUCACUCGCCUAGCAUGCAUGAGGCACUGGGUUCUAUCCUCAGCACCACAUAAAUAUAAAAUACAGUAUUGUGUCCAACUACAACUAAAAAAUAAAUAUUAAAAAAAAUUAAAAAAUAAAAUAAAAAUGUUUCCAUCACCCUAAGAAUAGGUUUCCUUUUGCCCCAAUCAUUUUCUUACACUUGUUCCCAAAAUAGUACUUGACUUUACAAAAAUAUGACCUACCACGAAUACGAGGAAAAAGUAUGUUCAAGGUAACUAAGCACCUUUUACACUUAGCUCUAGGUAACCAUUGACCUGCUUUCUGCCACUAUGGCUGUUUUUCUAGAAUUUCAUAUAAAAGUAAUCAUACAAUAUGUUGUCAUUUUUUGCUUUACUUCUUUCACUUAACCUAGUGUUUUGGAGUUUCAUUCAUGUUGUUGCAAGAAAAAUAUCUCAUUCCUAUUUAGUGCAAAGUAGUAACUGAUUGUAAAGAAAUUGUUCUUUCCAGUUGCAGGAUAUUUUGGUUGGUUUAUAGUUAGGGCCUAUUAUAAAUAAUGUAUCCAUUAGUCUUUGUGUGGGCAUAUGUUCUCAUUUGUUCUUGGGUACAUAUGUAAGAGUGGAAUUUCUGGGUCAUAUGCUAAGUGCAAGUUUACUUUUAUAAGGCACUGCCAAAAUGUUUCCCAAGUGCUUAUACCAUUUUGCAAUCUCACCUACAAUGUAUUGGUGUUCCAGUUUCUUGAUUCUCUUCCUGCCCUUAUUCUUUUCAAAAGAUGGAAUGUAAUUACUGGUCAAAAAGAGCAAUUGAGCAAAUAUGUCAACUGUUGACAAUUGGUGAAUAUGAAUAAAGAAUACUGAUGUUCAUUUUAUUAUUAUUUUAAUGAA
rnacentral:lncRNA from 1 species